rnacentral:rRNA from 1 species
GGAUCAAAUUGUCGGUCGUGCCUCGGUACGCACUGGUAUUAUUGGUUCCUCCCUUCUGAAGAACCGCGAUGUCAUUAAUUUGGUGUCUUGGGGAAUCAGGACUGUUACUUUGAAAAAUUAGAGUGUUUAAAGCAGGCUCACGCUUGAAUACAUUAGCAUGGAAUAAUGAAAUAGGACGUUUGAUUCUAUUUUGUUGGUUUCUAGGAUCGAUGUA